UUGAUGGACCUUCACUUGGGUUUGCAGUUAUCUUGCUCCUUUUGUAGGUUUUAAAGAAGUAACACCUAUGAGCAAGGAGUCUCGUCAUGUUACAGACCAAAACCUUGAUAUUUCGCAGAAGACACCUGCUUGUGUACCUUAUGCUUUGCGGCAUUAUUAUUAUCAGUAUUUAUCGUCCAUCGCUGAGGCUGUUGAGAUACAAAUCUGAAUACAUUCACCAUAGAGUGCAAGGCCAGUAUGUCAGAAACAUGUUGUUAGCAGUCGCAGUCAUCUGCCUAAAUAGUUAAGUUGUUGGUUGAUUUUAUAACCUGAUUAUGCCUAUUUUAACAUGCUGAUUGCUCGACUCUGCAUAUAGUUAUUUCACCUCCUGUAUUGCAGGAGAAGAUCUCAAUUCUUAGAGAAAAUGACACAUUACUAAAAGCAAAGGAAAAGAUGAAUCUUUAGAUGGAUUCUUUACUGAAAAACAAAGAUUUAGCUGACGGUCAAAUUAUGGCACUAACAAAAUCAUUGGAAGCUCUUCAAAAAUAUCUUA